UAGGGAAUUUUCCACAAUGGGCGAAAGCCUGAUGGAGCAACGCCGCGUGCAGGAUGAAGGGCUUAGGUUCGUAAACUGCUUUUAUAUGUGACGAUUAUGACGGUAGCAUAUGAAUAAGGAUCGGCUAAUUCCGUGCCAGCAGCCGCGGUCAUACGGAAGAUCCAAGCGUUAUCCGGAAUUACUGGGCGUAAAGAGUUGCGUAGGUGGCAUAGUAAGUAGAUAGUGAAAUGAUGCGGCUCAACCGUAUGUC
rnacentral:rRNA from 1 species